GUGGCGAACGGGUGAGUAAUGUAUCGGAACGUACCUUUCAGUGGGGGAUAACGUAGCGAAAGUUACGCUAAUACCGCAUAUUCUGUGAGCAGGAAAGCAGGGGAUCGCAAGACCUUGCGCUGAUUGAGCGGCCGAUAUCAGAUUAGCUAGUUGGUGAGGUAAAGGCUCACCAAGGCGACGAUCUGUAGCGGGUCUGAGAGGAUGAUCCGCCACACUGGAACUGAGACACGGUCCAGACUCCUACGGGAGGCAGCAGUGGGGAAUUUUGGACAAUGGGGGCAACCCUGAUCCAGCCAUGCCGCGUGAGUGAAGAAGGCCUUCGGGUUGUAAAGCUCUUUCGGCCGGGAAGAAAUCGCAUGGGUUAAUACCCUGUGCGGAUGACGGUACCGGCAUAAGAAGCACCGGCUAACUACGUGCCAGCAGCCGCGGUAAUACGUAGGGUGCGAGCGUUAAUCGGAAUUACUGGGCGUAAAGCGUGCGCAGGCGGUUUUGUAAGACAGGCGUGAAAUCCCCGGGCUCAACCUGGGAACUGCGCUUGUGACUGCAAGGCUAGAGUAUGGCAGAGGGGGGUGGAAUUCCACGUGUAGCAGUGAAAUGCGUAGAGAUGUGGAGGAACACCAAUGGCGAAGGCAGCCCCCUGGGCCAAUACUGACGCUCAUGCACGAAAGCGUGGGUAGCAAACAGGAUUAGAUACCCUGGUAGUCCACGCCCUAAACGAUGUCAACUAGGUGUUGGGUGGGUAAAACCAUUUAGUACCGGAGCUAACGCGUGAAGUUGACCGCCUGGGGAGUACGGCCGCAAGGUUAAAACUCAAAGGAAUUGACGGGGACCCGCACAAGCGGUGGAUGAUGUGGAUUAAUUCGAUGCAACGCGAAAAACCUUACCUACCCUUGACAUGUCCAGGAGCCUGAAGAGAUUUGGGUGUGCCCGAAAGGGAACUGGAACACAGGUGCUGCAUGGCUGUCGUCAGCUCGUGUCGUGAGAUGUUGGGUUAAGUCCCGCAACGAGCGCAACCCUUGUCGUUAAUUGCCAUCAUUUAGUUGGGCACUUUAACGAGACUGCCGGUGACAAACCGGAGGAAGGUGGAGAUGACGUCAAGUCCUCAUGGCCCUUAUGGGUAGGGCUUCACACGUCAUACAAUGGUCGGUACAAAGGGUUGCCAACCCGCGAGGGGGAGCCAAUCCCAGAAAGCCGAUCGUAGUCCGGAUUGCAGGCUGCAACUCGCCUGCAUGAAGUCGGAAUCGCUAGUAAUCGUGGAUCAGCAUGUCACGGUGAAUACGUUCCCGGGUCUUGUACACACCGCCCGUCACACCAUGGGAGCGGGUUCCGCCAGAAGUAGGUAGCCUAACCGCAAGGGGGGCGUUUACCACGGCGGGGUUCGUGACUGGGGUGAAGUCGAAACAAGGUA
rnacentral:rRNA from 1 species